rnacentral:rRNA from 1 species
GACGAACGCUGGCGGCGUGCUUAACACAUGCAAGUCGAGCGGUAAGGCCCUUUCGGGGGUACACGAGCGGCGAACGGGUGAGUAACACGUGGGUGACCUGCCCUCAGCUCUGGGAUAAGCCUGGGAAACCGGGUCUAAUACUGGAUAUGACUCCAUGACGCAUGUUGUGGGGUGGAAAGCCUUGUGCGGCUGAGGAUGGGCCCGCGGCCUAUCAGCCUGUUGGUGGGGUGANGGCCUACCAAGGCGACGACGGGUAGCCGGCCUGAGAGGGCGACCGGCCACACUGGGACUGAGACACGGCCCAGACUCCUACGGGAGGCAGCAGUGGGGAAUCUUGCGCAAUGGGCGAAAGCCUGACGCAGCGACGCCGCGUGAGGGAUGACGGCCUGGU